UACGUAGGGACCAAGCGUUGUCCGGAUUUACUGGGCGUAAAGAGCGCGCAGGCGGUCGUUCAAGUCGAGUGUGAAAGCCCCGGCUCAACUGGGAGGGUCACUCGAUACUGAUCGACUUGAAGGCAGGAGAGGGAAGCGGAAUUCCCGGUGUAGUGGUGAAAUGCGUAGAUAUCGGGAGGAACACCAGUGGCGAAGGCGGCUUCCUGGCCUGUUCUGACGCUGAGGCGCGAAGCUAGGGAGCAAACGGG
rnacentral:rRNA from 1 species